rnacentral:rRNA from 1 species
UAAACGAUAUGCCACGAAAAAUCUUACUUGUUUUAAAUAGUUUGUAUACCGUCAUUAUUAGAUAAUCCUUAAAGGGAGAAUUAUUUAAAUUAAUAUAAUUAAGUAUAUUAGAUCAAGGUGCAGCUUAUAGGCAAGAAAAAAUGGGUUACAAUAAAUUAGUUGUAUAUAUAAUUUAAUAAGUUAUAUAGAAAUUGGCUCUAAAGUGUGUACAUAUCGCCCGUCGCUCGCGGGAAAA